GACGAACGCUGGCGGCGUGCUUAACACAUGCAAGUCGAACGGACCUUCGGGUUAGUGGCGAACGGGUGAGUAACACGUGGGUGAUCUGCCCUGCACUUUGGGAUAAGCCUGGGAAACUGGGUCUAAUACCGGAUAGGACCACGCAUUUUAUGGUGUGUGGUGGAAAGCUUUUGCGGUGUGGGAUGGGCCCGCGGCCUAUCAGCUUGUUGGUGGGGUAAUGGCCUACCAAGGCGACGACGGGUAGCCGGCCUGAGAGGGUGACCGGCCACACUGGGACUGGGAUACGGCCCAGACUCCUACGGGAGGCAGCAGUGGGGAAUAUUGCACAAUGGGCGCAAGCCUGAUGCAGCGACGCCGCGUGAGGGAUGACGGCCUUCGGGUUGUAAACCUCUUUCGCCAGGGACGAAGCGCAAGUGACGGUACCUGGAGAAGAAGGACCGGCCAACUACGUGCCAGCAGCCGCCGUAAAAC
rnacentral:rRNA from 1 species